rnacentral:rRNA from 1 species
GAUUAGUGGCGAACGGGUGAGUAACACGUGAGCAACCUGCCCUGGACUCUGGGAUAAGCGCUGGAAACGGUGUCUAAUACCGGAUAUGAGCCACGGCCGCAUCGGUCGGUGGUUGGAAAGAUUUUUUGGUCUGGGAUGGGCUCGCGGCCUAUCAGCUUGUUGGUGAGGUAAUGGCUCACCAAGGCGUCGACGGGUAGCCGGCCUGAGAGGGUGACCGGCCACACUGGGACUGAGACACGGCCCAGACUCCUACGGGAGGCAGCAGUGGGGAAUAUUGCACAAUGGGCGGAAGCCUGAUGCAGCAACGCCGCGUGAGGGAUGACGGCCUUCGGGUUGUAAACCUCUUUUAGCAGGGAAGAAGCGUGAGUGACGGUACCUGCAGAAAAAGCGCCGGCUAACUACGUGCCAGCAGCCGCGGUAAUACGUAGGGCGCAAGCGUUAUCCGGAAUUAUUGGGCGUAAAGAGCUCGUAGGCGGUUUGUCGCGUCUGCUGUGAAAUCCCGAGGCUCAACUUCGGGCUUGCAGUGGGUACGGGCAGACUAGAGUGCGGUAGGGGAGAUUGGAAUUCCUGGUGUAGCGGUGGAAUGCGCAGAUAUCAGGAGGAACACCGAUGGCGAAGGCAGAUCUCUGGGCCGUAACUGACGCUGAGGAGCGAAAGGGUGGG